UAAAAAUGGCAGAAUCCCUUCAUGUAUGAUUAAUUAACAUAAUUUAUCAAGCACGUACAAUAUCCGUAUGUAGUUAAUAAACUAAUACUUUGCAUAUCCUGAAGACAACUCUGGAGAAAAUGUCUACCAGCGUCUGGAAAACUAUACAGGUUAUAUCAUUUUGAUCUGCUGCAAUGAAGAAAUGUUAUCAUUAUUUGUUCUGCCUCAAAUGCUUCUUAUUGAUGUUUUUGGCCCUUAACCUUUCAAAAGCGUUUGAGUUGAAGUGUCCAAGUUCAAAGCAAUGGUUGCUACGAGCGAGCAGUCGUUGUUUAAUUGCGGAUGGUUACAUCUGUCUCUUUGAUGAAAACAGGAAUACAUUUGGAGAAAUUUGCAUAAACAGGACAUAUGUUGAUCCAGCAGGGUACAAAUUUGUAAUUGCGGGUAAUCUUGAUCGACGAAAAUGCGCAAGUUCCAGUUAUCAACCCUUUACAUUCUCAACCAAAGGUACAUCAACUUGUAUUUUUGAAAAGACAUACUGCAGUGAGGAAGGACAGAUUAUUUUCAAUAAUGGGUCUUCAAAUUCUGAUAGAAAAUGUCGAUGUGAUUAUACUCGAGGUUACGACUUCAUUACCAAGCCGAAACAUAGUUGUUACUGUGUUCCGUCAAUGGAGGAUUGUUCGUGUUGCCAGAAACAUUGUACACCAGGAUUCAUCCUCAGUCCAGACUACCAAUGCAUUAAUCUAACCAGCUGGGAUUCACAGUUCACGUGUGAAUUGAUUCUGCCAUAUCAUCCAAAAGAUACCAACUUUCCUUCACAUGACAACAAUUUAGAUAAAAGUGUGGCCGCAUCAAGAAUGAAUGUGAGAAUCGUCCUUAGUAUAGCGGUCGGUGUUACUAUCAUUUUUACACUAAUAAUAGUGCAAAUAACGUUGUUUUGCUUACCAAGGAUAGAAUCUUUUAAAGAUGCCAAAAAGAAUGUUUUAAGAGAAAAUGUUGAAUUGAAAUCGUUAUUGGCCGGAAAGGUUAUAUCACAAAAUAUAAGAGAUUUGCAACAACACGCUAAAAAAAAAUGGAAAAAACAGUUUAAUCGUUUUGUGGAAACAAGAGCUUCAAAGGCCAUUUUUGAAAGAUUAAAACAAGAGCAGUGUUUUAUUAUUUCUGGACCAUUUGGAUGCGGGAAAUCUUCUUUAGCAUUUCAUACCGCGUUGAAACUCGAGGAAACAUUGGGAUUCGAUUUCAUGAUCAUUUCUAAUCCAGAUGAUUUUUUAAGGUAUGCAUCGGAAGACAAAAAGCAGAUAUUUCUAAUAGAUGAUGCAUUUGGAAAGUAUUAUGUAAGCACCUACGAUACGAUAUGGUGGAUUCGUCAGGAUGAAUCCAUUAAUCACCUCCUGAAAAGAAACAUCAAUUUGAGGCUCUUGAUGACUUCGAGAUUAAGUAUUUACCGGUCAGUAAAAAGACAACAGAUGAAAGUUAGAUUUUGUCUAUUAAAUCUUAUAUCAAAAGAAGUAGCAUUGACAUUUGAGGAGAGACAAAUGAUAGGAAGAUGUUAUCUACAGGACGAUAUGAUUGAUAACCUUAGUGAAGACGUAGUUUCAACAUACAGUUUUUUUCCAAUGCUUUGUGGAAUUUUCAAUAUUUACUCGAAGGAAAAUAUUGUUGACUAUUUCACUAAUCCUGUUCAGUAUAUAAAGACUGAAAUUGAAAAUUUUUUAGAAACACCAGAUCUGUUUUGCCUGGCAUUGGCUGUUUUAAUUGUUUUUGAUAACGACGUUAAAAAAAACAUUUUUAACGAUGAUAACCCCACAUAUGAUAGACUGUUUAUGUGUAUAUCAAAAGAAAUAGGUUACACAAGAUACAAAUCAAAAACAAAAUUAUAUUCGAGCUUUACUGCUCUGACUGAUUCAUAUGUAUCAGAUCAAGAAUCCUCUUUCGCGUGCCUUCAUGUUAAUUUAUUUAAUGCUUUGGCAUUUUGCAUAGGCCCUAAAAUAAUACACAGUAUUCUUCUUUAUGGAACAACGGCAUUUAUAAUCGACAAAAUGCAACUGAAAACAUCAUGUAGCCACUAUCCUAAGUUCACAAUUAUAAUUCCGAAUUCAUUACAUGCUAGUUACUUAAAAAGAAUGUUGUUGGACAUGAAAACAGCUUCAUAUAAUAUAUUUAUAGGAAGUCAACAUUUAUCAGCUGAGUUUAGACAAUCGUAUAUUGCAUACAUGAAAAAACAUUUAAAAAAAGAGGAUCUGAGAAAAGGCAUUGAUAAAACUACAGUCCUUCAUCUUGUUUCAGCAGAAGGGUAUACGGAUUAUGUUGAAUAUUUCCUUGACCUAGAUAAACAAAUGGUAAAAGAACUAGAUAAGUUUGAACAGACUGCGUUGCAUAAAACAUGUAUGAAAGGACAUCUACGUGUAGCCAGCUUGUUAUUGGAUAAGGGUAUAUAUAUUGAUCAAUCUGAUAAAGACAGUAAAACAGCUCUUGAUAUUGCGUGUGAUUGCGGCUUAAUUGAUAUGGUAGAUUUGUUGUUGUCUCGACAUGCAACAAUUCGUCAGAAAACGAGUGAUUUUAGUUCUCCUCUCCAUGUUGCUUGCAGUAAAAGUAAUUUUAAGAUAGCUGAAUUACUUUUGAAAAAAAACGCUGACGUUAAUCAACGGGAUUAUAACGGAUAUUCACCUCUUCAUUUAGCAUGUCAGAAAGGGUCUAUCGAGAUUGCUACAAUGUUAAUCACACACAGGGCGAUUAUUGAUAUGGAAGAUUUAAAAGGAGAGACGUCGUUGCAUACUGCUUGCAGAAAUGGUCAUUGUAAAAUAGCAGAACUGUUAUUAGUCAAUAGAGCAAAUGCAAAUAAACGCAAUUUAGUUCGAAAUACACCUAUUUUGAUAGCUUGUGAAAAGAAACACAUGGAGAUUAUUAAGCUUUUAUUAGAAUAUAAGGCAGAUGUUAAUUGUAAAAAUAAAGCUCUGCUGACACCAUUACAUGUAGCAUAUAGGAAUAACAGUACGGACAUUGUUUUGCUACUUAUUAAACAUGGUGCAUUGGUCAACGAACCUGAUACAAAUUUUCAAACACCUUUAUUUAUUGCUUGUUCAAAAGGUUAUCAUAUUGUUAAGGGUAAAAUAAUAGAAAAUGGCGCUUCCAUAACCACGGGCAAUCAGAAUGAUGAAACACCUCUUCACGUGGAUGAUAACGAGAGAAAUGAAGAAACAGUGAAAGUUUUAUUAAAUGCUGGUGCUAAUGUGAACCAGGGUGAUACUUAUGAGAUUACACCAAUUCAAUUGGCUUGUAAAGCUCAAAGAGAAGAAAUCGUUAAAUUGUUGAUAAAUGCCGGUGCUGAUGUGAAUAAGAAUGAUCAGAAUGGUAUCACACCACUUGACAUGGCUCGUAAAGGCGGACAAAAUGAAAUCCUUUCAUUAUUGUUAAAUGCCAAAGUUAAUGUGAAUAAGAGUGAUAAACAUUCGACGCCACCACUUCACAUGGCUUGUACAGAAGGAAGUGAAGCAACAGUUAAGACGUUGUUAAAUGCGGGUGCUCAUGUGAAUGAGGUGGAUAAGGAUGGAAUGACUCCGCUUCAUGCAGCUUGUAAAGGCGGACAGGAAGAAAUCGUUACUAUGUUAAUAAAUGCCGGUGUUAAUGUGAAUAAGGGAGAUACGAAUGGAGUAACACCACUCCAUAUGUCUUGUAUAGAAGGAAAUGAAGCAAUCGUUAAAGUGUUUUUAAAUUCGAUUGCUAAUGUGAAUGUGAAAGAUAAGGAUGGAAUGACACCGCUGAAUAUUGCUUGUAAACAUGGACACAACGAUAUCGCUACAUUGUUAUUGAAAGCGGGUGCUAAUGGGAAUAGGGCUGAUAAGAAAGAGAUUACGACACUUCAUAUGUCCAAUAAAGGUGAAAGAGAAGUAACCACCAAUGUAUUUCCAAUGUGAAUGUUCUUCAUACGGAUUUGUUUAUAAUGUAAGUUCAGAAAAUUUGGCAAUGUUUUAUUAUUGCGAAAGUUGCGAGGGGAUAGAUUUGCAAAUUUAAAACUCGCAUUUGGAAUUUUGUUAACAUAAUUUGUAUGCAGCUUUUUUCUGUAAUCGCAGAAAUUAGUAAUGCAUACUGAAAUUACAGAUCUACCCAAGAAUAACUGAAAAGUCGGGAGAAAAGGUAUCGUUGCAUUAUACAGGUUAUGACAGAUAAAUAUUAAAUACAGAUAGCAGGGACAAACGCAAAUAAGUCAAUUGGAGAUUUAUUGCUUGCAAAUCAUGAAGUUUGAUAUUAAGUCACCUACCGUUCAAUUGUUGUUGAAAGCAUAUUUUUGUAAAACAAAACGCAUGCCCAUAUAAACGACGAAUGAUCGAUGCCUAUAACAUAAUAAAUAGUUACUGUCAUAAAGUGUUUAAUAUGAUUACCUUGGUCGUUUGUACAUCGUACCAAUCAUAUUAUUGACAAAGUUCCAUGUAACAGAAGUGGUUUACAAUCGUACAAAGUAGGAGGGACAACAUUUGUUGUAAUAUAUUUUAACUAUUUGCUUAUUGUUGUUAUAUUUGUCGUAUAGUAAAACAAAAGUAGUAUA